GAGUUUGAUCGUGGCUCAGAUUGAACGCUGGCGGCAUGCCUUACACAUGCAAGUCGAACGGCAGCACGGGAGCUUGCUCCUGGUGGCGAGUGGCGAACGGGUGAGUAAUGCAUCGGAACGUAUCCUGGAGUGAGGGAUAACGUAGCGAAAGUUACGCUAAUACCGCAUAUUCUGUGAGCAGGAAAGCGGGGGACCUUCGGGCCUCGCGCUCUUGGAGCGGCCGAUGUCGGAUUAGCUAGUUGGUGAGGUAAAGGCUCACCAAGGCGACGAUCCGUAGCAGGUCUGAGAGGAUGAUCUGCCACACUGGAACUGAGACACGGUCCAGACUCCUACGGGAGGCAGCAGUGGGGAAUUUUGGACAAUGGGGGCAACCCUGAUCCAGCCAUGCCGCGUGAGUGAAGAAGGCCUCGGUUGGUAAGACUCUUUCGUCGUACGGGAAGAAAGUUAG
rnacentral:rRNA from 1 species